rnacentral:rRNA from 1 species
GGGUCAGUAGGUUGGUCGUGCCACCGGUACGUACUGGUCUCACUGAUUCCUCCUUCCUGAAGAACCGUAAUGCCAUUAAUUUGGUGCUGCGGGGAAACAGGACUGUUACUUUGAAAAAACUAGAGUGUUUAAAGCAAGCUAACGCUUGAAUACAUUAGCAUGGAGUAAUGAAAUAGGACGAUCGAUCCUAUUUUGUUGGUUUCUAGGAUUGACGUA